rnacentral:rRNA from 1 species
UAACAGGUCUGUGAUGCUCUUAGAUGUCCUGGGCUGCACGCGUACUACAAUAACGGUACCAGCGAGCGCUAUGGUUUUUUAACCCCUUAUCCUAAUAGGAUUGGGUAAACUUUUCAAACACCGUUAUGACAGGGAUCGAGGAUUGGAACAUCCUCGUGAACGAGGAAUUCCUAGUAAGCGUGGUUCAUCAUACCACAUUGAUUACGUCCCUGCCUUUUGUACACACCGCCCGUCGCUCCUACCGAUGGGACGAAGAGAUGAACCUGGCGGACCAAACCGUAAGGUGAGGGAAACCAGUUAAAUCUAUUCGUCUGUAGGAAGGAAAAGUCGUAACAAGGUCUUCGUAGGUGAACCUGCGUAGGGAUCAUUU